rnacentral:tRNA from 1 species
AGAGUAUAGCUCAGUGGUAGAGUGUGUGCUUAGCAUGCAUGAGGUCCUGGGUCCAAUCCCCAGCACCUCUA